rnacentral:rRNA from 1 species
UACGUAGGGGGCAAGCGUUAUCCGGAUUUACUGGGUGUAAAGGGAGCGUAGGCGGCUUUGCAAGUCAGAAGUGAAAGCCCGGGGCUCAACUCCGGGACUGCUUUUGAAACUGCAGAGCUAGAUUGCAGGAGAGGUAAGUGGAAUUCCUAGUGUAGCGGUGAAAUGCGUAGAUAUUAGGAGGAACACCAGUGGCGAAGGCGGCUUACUGGACUGUAAAUGACGCUGAGGCUCGAAAGCGUGGGGAGCAAACAGG